rnacentral:rRNA from 1 species
AUGGGAUCAUUUGACCUAUCCGACUUGGACACACCUUUCACAGAGGACGAGAUUUGGAGGGCCAUCAAAUGCCUACCAACUAGAAAGGCUCCCGGCCUGGAUGGAUUCACGAUCGAAUUCCUCCGUGUUUGUUGGGAUAUCAUGAAGCACGACAUAUGCGAGGCAUUCGACAAGCUAUACACCGCCAAUGGGCGAGGUUUUCAGAAGCUCAAUGAAGCGCUCCUCACUCUCCUGCCCAAGCGCCCAGACGCUGCUGCCUUAUCGGAAUACCGCCCCAUUAGCCUCAUCCACCUCAUUGCAAAGCUCUUUUCAAAGGUGUUGUCUCUGCGGCUUGCACCUCGCCUCGGGGCCAUGGUCUCGACCAAUCAGAGAGCCUUCAUCAUCGGACGGUGCAUCCACAAGAACAUUCUGCUCGUCCAGUAG